ACCAUCAACUUCUACAAUAUCGUAGUUAAAACAAUGCCUUUCGUUUUGUUUAGUAAUCUCUUCGUUGGAUCCAAACAACGCUGAGGCACAGAAUCAAUCCUGGCAAGAGUUCUGGAGUACACUCUAGUAGUAUCUCCUUAUGAACCUUUGACCCAGUCUGGCAAGAGUUCUGGAGUACACUCUAGUAUCUCCUUAUGAACCUUUGACCCAGUCUGUCUCUUAGCAAACC
rnacentral:lncRNA from 1 species